CGCUAGGCUCGGUGGUCCUCAACCCGGAGUCGCUCUAGGUGAGAGACUGACGGCCUCCGCGUGACAACCUCCGCCCGUCCGCAGCGGGGACCGGAAAAGAAGCCCGGGCUUUUCCACAAAUGUUCUCGUGAAGGCAGAAUCUGGAAAAGGAGGACGGGGAAGAGCGAGCCGAGGGGCGGUUUGGCUGGGAUGCCCAGGGCUCGGCCGCGUUCAUCCCUGCCGGUUUCGGGCCGAGGGCAGUCAGAAGGACCGGAUCUCUUUUCACGUCGUCCUCACCUAACCAAAAAGAAAGGCAGCCUGGAGGAGUGGCUCACACCAGUAACCGCUGGCAUUUGGGAGGCUGAGGCCGGAGGAUUGCUAGCUCUUCUCAGGACUGGUGUGAGACAGGCAGAAGCAUCUAUGACUGGCAAGCUAACUGCCAAAUCCUGUUCCCACCACACAUACGAGGGAGGAGAGCAAAUGGAGAUAUCAAGAAUGGAAAGCAACGAAGGCUUAACCACAGAGGAGAGCUGAGUGGCUGUCUGCUAAUCACCAGAAAAGGGCUCACCAGACCAAAAAGAAAAAAGAAAAGGGCCCCUGAAAAGAAGGGAGAAAGGCUAACCAGAGGAAGAGGGGGGAAGAGCAAAACAAGUGCUGGAACAAUCCUGUCAAACCCAGGACACUUCCACAGUUCAGUCCUGGGAAGAGAGCGACACUGCAGAUGCCAAGUAAAAUGCAGCAACAAAACCCAUUGUUGACUUCUACAGUGAAGUUUUGGAGAAAAUUGCUUGGAAACUGUGUUACAAAGUGUUGCCCGCUGCCCCCACAUCCUACGGUGAAUAUCUGUAUUGUUGAAGAUGGGGGUAAUGUUUUAUAUUCAUAAUUUAAAGAUAAUCUUUACUGCCCUGUAAGUUUAGAGUUUUGCUUUUCCCACUUACACUUAGUCUGCCCUGAACUGAGUUUUAUGAAAAGAAGGAGAUAGACAUUCAAUUAAAACUGCUCGCUUGAAGAGUAAAUAGUCAUAGCGCCAUUUACUCAAGAGUCUAUCUUUCUCCCCAGCCUGUAUUCUGGCUCUUUCCUAGUCUAGGUUCUGUGUGAGUGUGCGACUCUGUUCCCAUCUUCUUAUUGGUCCAUUUGCCUAACCUUGCGGCACUGUUAUCUUAUGACCUCAGCAAUAGAAAUGGUUGUAACAAUACAAAAACAAGAUGUCUCUGCCUUGUGUCAUAGUGCUAGCCAAUCUCACUAUGAGCUUUUUCUUCUUCAUAAAUGUCUUGGCAAUUCCAGUCAUUUGUUCUUCCAUGACAUUUCUAGAAUAAUACAUGUUGGAAUUUUUAUUGGGCUUGUAUUGAGUUUAUAGAUUAAUUUGGUAGGUUAUAUAAUUUUUUUAUAAUGCUGAGUGUUUCAGUCCAUAAACAUGGAGUAGUUCUAUAAUUUUUUUCUGUGAAUAUCUUUGAAUAAUAUUUCCAGAGACUUUUUAUUAUUUAAUGUUGUUCUACUUGGUGUAUUUAUAGUUACUGUGUCCUAGUGGGUGGGGCUGCUGGUUGCUUCUGUCUUGAAGCAGAAAGGGUGUUUGGAGGUCAUUAAGAGCCAAUGAGGAAGCCCUUGGAGGAUGGGGUGUUCUGAAAGGAGGGAUGUAAUUUACUGGGGUCACAAUAACUGUCAGCAGAAGAAAAGGUGUGGCUGCCAAGCAUAAAGUGUUUUCCCUUCUCCAGGGCCAAUACCUCAGGACCAGGCAAACACACUGGAUCCUCAGCAGGAUUCACUUCAGACACCCCCUACUCAAAGUAGAAAUAAAACAGGCUGUUACUUAUGAAUUUACAGACAGGAUGAGUUUCUGAGAUAAUCAAAAUUCUGAACAGACUAAUUUAAAAUUCCCACUUUGGGAAUAUUUUUUUUAAGUUGUAUUUUUAAUUGACACAUUACUGUAAAUAUUUGUACAGUACAGGGUAAGAUUUUAAUAUGUGUAUACAAUGUCUAAUAACAUGAUUGGUAUUGAUUACUUCAGAUGUCUAUUAUUUAUGUUAACAUUUAAAAUCUUUUCUACCAGCUUCUUUGAAAUAUUCAAUUAAUUGCCAACCAUAGUUAUCAUUGCUGUAGAACAGUGAAGACACUCCUCCCAGGUCCCACCUCAGGAAUAUGAUCUUUGUAUAUUCAUACAUGCAAAUAUGGAGUCACACACUGUGGCAAACAGCCCUGUCUAAUGUCUCCAUCCUUCAGAGGCUCUGCUGGUAUGUAAACCCUUUCAAGGCUGCCUUGCCUGUCUCUUCACCAUUACCCCUUGGAAUCGAAGUCAUUUCAGUUUUAUGCUGGAAACUACAGUUGUUGAAUUUGCAGAAUACUAUAACCACUCAAACUUAAUAGUUUCACAAUGAUAUCUUGCAAGUUUCUUAAUUUAUUCAGAGACAGCCAAAAAGGUUUCUGGAGUUGUGGCGGUGCACACCUUUGAACGCCGGCCUCAGGAUGGAAGUGCUUCAGGGUUGUCUCACGGAAAACCACACUCUGUCUGCUAACCAUGUUAGCUGUCCAUCAUCUUAUAUACAAGAGGCAUGUAAUCUGCAGUCUUAUUUUUCUGUACACAAAAUUGCCAAU